AGAGUAUGAUCAUGGCUCAGGAUGAACGCUAGCUACAGGCAUAACACAUGCAAGUCGAGGGGAAACGAUAUUGGAAGCUUGCUUCCGAUAGGCGUCGACCGGCGCACGGGUGAGUAACGCGUAUCCAACCUGCCCAUCACUUGGGAAUAACCUUGCGAAAGUAAGACUAAUGCCCAAUGACAUUUAUAGAAGGCAUCGGAAAUGAAUUAAAGAUUUAUCGGUGAUGGAUGGGGAUGCGUCUGAUUAGCUUGUUGGCGGGGUAACGGCCCACCAAGGCGACGAUCAGUAGGGGUUCUGAGAGGAAGGUCCCCCACAUUGGAACUGAGACACGGUCCAAACUCCUACGGGAGGCAGCAGUGAGGAAUAUUGGUCAAUGGGCGAGAGCCUGAACCAGCCAAGUAGCGUGCAGGAUGACGGCCCUAUGGGUUGUAAACUGCUUUUAUAGGGGAAUAAAGUGAUCCACGUGUGGUUUUUUGCAUGUACCCUAUGAAUAAGGACCGGCUAAUUCCGUGCCAGCAGCCGCGGUAAUACGGAAGGUCCGGGCGUUAUCCGGAUUUAUUGGGUUUAAAGGGAGCGUAGGCCGGAGAUUAAGCGUGUUGUGAAAUGUAGAUGCUCAACAUCUGCACUGCAGCGCGAACUGGUUUCCUUGAGUACGCAUAAAGUGGGCGGAAUUCGUGGUGUAGCGGUGAAAUGCUUAGAUAUCACGAAGAACUCCGAUUGCGAAGGCAGCUCACUGGGGCGCAACUGACGCUGAGGCGCGAAAGCGUGGGGAGCAAACAGGAUUAGAUACCCUGGUAGUCCACGCCGUAAACGAUGAAUACUAGGUGUGGGGGGACUGACCCCUUCCGUGCCGGAGUUAACACAAUAAGUAUUCCACCUGGGGAGUACGGUCGCAAGACUGAAACUCAAAGGAAUUGACGGGGGCCCGCACAAGCAGUGGAUUAUGUGGAUUAAUUCGACGCAACGCGAAGAACCUUACCAGGAUUUGACAUCCUACUAACAAAGUAGAGAUACAUCAGGUGCCCUUCGGGGAAAGUAGAGACAGGUGGUGCAUGGUUGUCGUCAGCUCGUGUCGUGAGAUGUUGGGUUAAGUCCCGCAACGAGCGCAACCCUUAUCGUUAGUUGCUACGCAAGAGCACUCUAGCGAGACUGCCGUUGACAAAACGGAGGAAGGUGGGGAUGACGUCAAAUCAUCAUGCCCCUUACGUCCUGGGCUUCACACGUAAUACAAUGGCGAUUAACAAAGCGAUGCAAAGCCGCGAGGCAGAGCGAAACGCAAAAAGUCGUCUCAGUUCGGAUUGCAGGCUGCAACCCGCCUGCAUGAAGUCGGAAUUGCUAGUAAUCGUGGAUCAGCAUGCCACGGUGAAUACAUUCCCGGGCCUUGUACACACCGCCCGUCACACCAUGAGAGUCGGGAACACCCGAAGUCCGUAGGCUAACCGCAAGGAGGCCGCGGCCUAAGGUGGGUCUGAUAAUUGAGGUGAAGUCGUAACAAGGUA
rnacentral:rRNA from 1 species